rnacentral:rRNA from 1 species
AUUGAACGCUGGCGGCAGGCCUAACACAUGCAAGUCGAGCGGAUGAGUGGAGCUUGCUCCAUGAUUCAGCGGCGGACGGGUGAGUAAUGCCUAGGAAUCUGCCUGGUAGAGGGGGACAACGUUUCGAAAGGAACGCUAAUACCGCAUACGUCCUACGGGAGAAAGUGGGGGAUCUUCGGACCUCACGCUAUCAGAUGAGCCUAGGUCGGAUUAGCUAGUUGGUGAGGUAAAGGCUCACCAAGGCGACGAUCCGUAACUGGUCUGAGAGGAUGAUCAGUCACACUGGAACUGAGAAACGGUCCAGACUCCUACGGGAGGCAGCAGUGGGGAAUAUUGGACAAUGGGCGAAAGCCUGAUCCAGCCAUACCGCGUGUGUGAAGAAGGUCUUCGGAUUGUAAAGCACUUUAAGUCGGGAGGAAGGGCAGUAAGUUAAUACCUUGCUGUUUUGACGUUACCAACAGAAUAAGCACCGGCUAACUUCGUGCCAGCCGCCGCGGUAAAAC